GGAGGGUAUAGCUCAGUGGUAGAGUACCUGCCUGGUAUGCACAAGGUCCUGGGUUCAAUCCCCAGUAUCCCCA